GUGUCGUUAUCGACUCUC
rnacentral:snRNA from 1 species